GGGGAUGUAGCUCAGUGGUAGAGCGCAUGCUUUGCACGUAUGAGGCCCCGGGUUCAAUCCCCGGCAUCUCCAGACUUUUCCGCCUUUUUCGGGCAAAUUACAGUCACGUGGUUACAAAAGCUUGGAAGAGGACCCAGGCAACCCUCAACAACCUGCCUGCGAAGAAAGCUCCCUUGGAAGGGGCUGCGCCAGCACAUUUCCCUGCCCCUAAUCACAAAUGCCCUGG
rnacentral:tRNA from 1 species